UUGUGUUGGCUACACUGUUAUACAUCUUGUCAAUUCUUAGUUCCCGUUUCCUUCUGAUAACAAACUAUGUUUACGUAAUUUUCAAGUCGGUUCAAAUACAAAUCAAAACACAUUUUGUACAUAUAUAAUAGUUUGCGCAGUAGUUUGAGCAAUGGAUGGGUAUUUAACGUGCAAUUUCAAGAGAUGUAAUAGGCCACUGUCAACAUCAGCAUGGAUAGCAAGUUGUUUUCAUAUCUUCUGUGAUGAACACUCACCCGCUUUAGAGACAAACAAAAGAUGCCCACUGUGUUUUUCUGAUCUUGGAGGUGAACAUGAUUUAAUUAAGAAACAUUUAAACCCCCUGAAGAGUAUAAAGCAAUGGUAUUGGCUGGGUUCAAUCCAAAGAAUAUUUUAGAAAUCGGCUCAAGAGCAAUAAGCUUUUGGAAAUUCCAGAAGUUCCAAGAGAGAAUGAUUCUGGGAUCAACCGUGAGGAACUUGGAAGGCCGACUGGCGCAGUCAGAGACAUCAUAUGAAGCCAUAAUUAAGCAACUCAAGGUUUACAUCCAGAAAGAGACCCAAAGGACUGAGAGGCUGCAAAAAGAGAUGGAAUUGUACAGCAGAAGAAUACAAGAUCUUGAGGAAAAAAAUAAAAACAAAAAUAAGCAAAUUUUUAAUCUUCAUGUACAAGUUGAAGAGCUGCGUAAACAACAUAAUUUACAAGGUGUAUUGGACAAUAGCGUCCGUGUUAACAAUGUAGAACGCAACUGUCGGCCUACUGAAGGCAGGGUUGCGAGAUCUCCUAACUUCCUAGACCGCAGGGGCAACCAUGAACAUGUGGAUCAAAUGUUCUGUUCUCAGCAGUUUCCAACUGCUCCUAGGCCUGUACUCACUUUCCAUCCUUCUGGCCAGCUUGUGUUCAAAUCUCCCAACUGUUAGAAAAUACUGAUAAUCUUAUAUAAAUGUUGUAAUCUUUGUGUAUAUCCUUGUUAAAAGAUUUAAACAUUCUCAUUCAAAUGUACUAUAGUUAUUAAAAUUUAUUACAUACAGGUAUUAGUACUGUACUAGAUUCAAUACUGUAAGGUAUUUUGUUAAGCUUUCAAUAAACUAAUGCUACAACUGAA
rnacentral:misc_RNA from 1 species